GGAAUAUUGGUCAAUGGGCGCAAGCCUGAACCAGCCAUGCCGCGUGCAGGAUGACGGUCCUAUGGAUUGUAAACUGCUUUUGUACAGGAAGAAACAUCUCUACGUGUAGAGACUUGACGGUACUGUAAGAAUAAGGAUCGGCUAACUCCGUUCCAUCAGCCGCGGUAAUACGGAGGAUCCAAGCGUUAUCCGGAAUCAUUGGGUUUAAAGGGUCCGUAGGCGGUUUUGUAAGUCAGUGGUGAAAGCCCAUCGCUCAACGGUGGAACGGCCAUUGAUACUGCAAGACUUGAAUUAUUAGGAAGUAACUAGAAUAUGUAGUGUAGCGGUGAAAUGCUUAGAGAUUACAUGGAAUACCAAUUGCGAAGGCAGGUUACUACUAAUGGAUUGACGCUGAUGGACGAAAGCGUGGGGAGCGAA
rnacentral:rRNA from 1 species